rnacentral:rRNA from 1 species
UACGAAGGGUGCAAGCGUUACUCGGAAUUACUGGGCGUAAAGCGUGCGUAGGUGGUUUGUUAAGUCUGAUGUGAAAGCCCUGGGCUCAACCUGGGAACUGCAUUGGAAACUGGCUUACUAGAGUGCGGUAGAGGUCGGUGGAAUUCCCGGUGUAGUGGUGAAAUUCGUAGAUAUUGGGAAGAACACCGGUGGCGAAGGCGGCUCUCUGGACCGAUACUGACGCUGAGGCGCGAAAGCGUGGGGAGCAAACAGG